ACGCUGGCGGCGUGCCUAACACAUGCAAGUCGAGCGGCAGCGCGAGUAGUUUACUACUUGGCGGCGAGCGGCGAACGGCUGAGUAACGCGUGGGAAUUUGCCCCAAAGUGAGGAAUAACUGCCCGAAAGGGUGGCUAAUGCCGCAUAUGAUCUUCGGAUUAAAGGAUUUAUCCGCUUUGGGAGAAGCCCGCGUCGGAUUAGGUAGUUGGUGAGGUAAUGGCUCACCAAGCCGACGAUCCGUAGCUGGUCUGAGAGGAUGACCAGCCAGACUGGAACUGAGACACGGUCCAGACUCCUACGGGAGGCAGCAGUGAGGAAUCUUCCACAAUGGGCGAAAGCCUGAUGGAGCAACGCCGCGUGCAGGAUGAAGGCCUUCGGGUUGUAAACUGCUUUUAUAAGUGAGGAAUAUGACGGUAGCUUAUGAAUAAGGAUCGGCUAACUACGUGCCAGCAGCCGCGGUCAUACGUAGGAUCCGAGCGUUAUCCGGAGUGACUGGGCGUAAAGAGUUGCGUAGGCGGUUUGUUAAGUGAAUAGUGAAAUCUGGUGGCUCAACCAUACAGGCUAUUAUUCAAACUGGCAAACUCGAGAGUGGUAGAGGUCACUGGAAUUUCUUGUGUAGGAGUGAAAUCCGUAGAUAUAAGAAGGAACACCGAUGGCGUAGGCAGGUGACUGGACCAUUUCUGACGCUAAGGCACGAAAGCGUGGGGAGCGAACCGGAUUAGAUACCCGGGUAGUCCACGCCGUAAACGAUGGAUACUGGCUGUUGGAGGUAUCGACCCCUUCAGUAGCGAAGCUAACGCGUUAAGUAUCCCGCCUGUGGAGUACGGUCGCAAGACUAAAACAUAAAGGAAUUGACGGAGACCCGCACAAGCGGUGGAUCGUGUUCUUUAAUUCGAUGCUAAACGAAGAA
rnacentral:rRNA from 1 species